rnacentral:rRNA from 1 species
CCUACGGGCGGCAGCAGUGGGGAAUAUUGCACAAUGGGGGAAACCCUGAUGCAGCGACGCCGCGUGAAGGAAGAAGUAUUUCUGUAUGGAAACUUCUAUCAGCAGGGAAGAAAAUGACGGUACCUGUCUAAGAAGCCCCGGCUAACUACGUGCAAGCAGCCGCGGUAAUACGGAGGGGGCAAGCGUUAUCCGGAUUUACUGGGUGGAAAGGGAGCGUAGGCGGUUUCAGAAGGCAGAAGUGAAAGCCCGGGGCUCAAAUCCGGGACUGCUUUUGAAACUGUUGAACUAGAUUGAAGGAGAGGUAAGUGGAAUUCCUGGUGUAGCGGUGAAAUGCGUAGAUAUUAGGAGGAACACCAGUGGCGAAGGCGGCUUACUGGACUGUAAAUGACGCUGAGGCUCGAAAGCGUGGGGAGCAAACAGGAUUAGAUACCCUAGUAGUC